ACGGCGUGAUGAAGGGAAGAUGAUGAAGAGACAAGCCCGUGGACAUGAGGAAGAGGAGAGGAAGUGGACACACUGAGAUUUUCAGGAGUCACGGUCUCACUGAAGAGAGAGCGAGAGAGAGAGAGAGACAGACACACACACACACACACACACACAGACAGACGACGACAGCAGCAGCAGCAGCAGCAGCGUUUGUCCUUCUUCCACUCAGUUGUGUGACCUGCUGACGGUCAGCGCGAGCGACGCGACGCACGAAGAAACUUGAGACAAACACACGGAGAGCCGACAAUCACAGGGUGUUCAUCCCUCUGUGGGCAACUGAAUGAGACGUUUCGCAAGAGGAGUGGGGGGAAAAAAAACAACAGGAAA